rnacentral:lncRNA from 1 species
GUUUUUAAUUUGUCUUUUGUCCCAGUUUUUCUUGUGUAAGCGUGACUGCAAUGUUCUCUCCAGCUUUUACAUUUGCAAAAUGAAACCAGAAGUAUCUACUGCUUUUUUGAGAAUUGUUAUACUUCCAAGCGAUGAUUUUGGGGCAACAAAGAGGAAAUUCUGUCCCCCCUCUCCUGUCCUCUUUUCACAUCCUCUUUAACACAAAGAUUUUUGUUAUGUCUUUGUUGUGCUGGUUGUCAAGUGCAUCCCACUGCCUUCUCCAUGAAGAUCCUGGCACACACCAAAAGGAGCCUUCCUCCCUGGUAGCACGAAGGUCCCCACUGCACAGCUGUGAGAGUGAGGGGAGGUGUUGGCUGUUUCUUCGACACCCUCAAGGGAGUGCAGAUGAAGCAUUCACACUUCAGGCUCUUACAGAUGGGAGGUAACAGCCCUCAGUGGCUCUGUUGUCCCCAAGCUCCUCCUUGCAUACACACUUUGUCAUUCUGGGCAGUGCGUGUGCGUGUACACCUAAACACACCCAUCUCUUCACACAUUGCAAUUUCAGAGUGAUCAUCUCAUAUUCCCUGGGCAAAGCAGGGAGUAAAAACGAACCUGCUCAGCUUUUAUAUUUUUUAAAUAGAAAACCAUCUUGAUUAAUUUCUUCUAACUACAAAAGUAAUAUAGAGUUACUGCCAAAAAAUUCAAGGGAAACAAGAGUGUUGUAAAAAUCAGUGCUUUUUUUCCUCUGCGACCCCUCAUCAGAGCACCACUGUUUGCAUUUUGGUGUACAUUCUUCAAGUUUUGUUCUCUUUAUAUGCAAAGGAAUAGACACCUUAAGUUUUGAAAAAUCAGAUGACAGAUUAACAUAAUUGACUAGUAAUUUCGACGCACUGGAUGCGUGGCGACUCCUUUCUUUUCUUUUGGCAGCUCGAGGCUUUGCUGCUAUGAUGGCAGAAGCAAGAAACUGGAAACCAAAAAGGAGCUGCAACAGCUUUCUUAAAGACUGAGCGUGUGCAGGAAGGCAAGAGCUACAUGAAUGUGACUUGAGAAAUGUGUGUCAUUAGUGGCAUGGGUGCUUUCAUGGCAAACCCUCUAGGGAGAAGUUAGGAUCAGGGCCAGCCUGGAGCCUGAAGGGACAGGCAUAGUUGCUGAAGAGUACCUCUUCACUCCCCCCCCCGCCAAGGUUCUUUCUUCACUGCCCCGGGGAGCCCUUGGUCUCUGCACAGCCCUGCCAGCACAUCCCACAAGGAGAACUGUUCCUCUUUCCACCUGCCUCAUUGCUGAAAGGUCACUUAGCUUGUGUUUUCCUCCUUGUGAUUCUGGCUCCCCUGGUGGUAGGAGUGAUUGACCUCUGCUUUGAUCUCUAACUAUGGGGGACUCCUUGGGGAAGACUCAGGUCAGUAGCAAUAUGUCUUUGUGGCCUAUCUGUUUGGACAAGGAGAGUGCAGCACUUGAAAUUCGGCCACUCUGUCCUCAACUGGAAGUUACAGGGGAGGAGUGGGCUGCCCAUUCUGUACUCUGGCAAAAGCAUUCUUUCAUUAUUUAGGGCCUUCAAUGUUUCAAAGAUGAUGGGAAUUCAAGCUAAUAUGAAAUUCAAGGUUUGAUAUAUGUCUUAUAUCCAAACCAGGGUUUAAGUUUAUAACACCAACAUUAUACAGGGCAUCAGGUCGACCAGAAAUGCAGGCCUUAGACGAUGCUGGAGGGGAUCCAAGAUCCCCGAAGAAGUACAGGUAUUUCUGUCCUGGAUUAUUUGUUUCACUUAAGAGGAGAACAGUGGUUUUGCUGUUAACUAAGGGAUAUGUAUUCUUUCCCUUCAUUAGUUGUCCUUAUACUGGUA